ensembl:snoRNA
UGGAGGACUGAGAAAGUUUAGCAGCUUGUUCUGUGCUGUUAUAACUGGUUAUAACCUCCUAAAUGGAAAAUAAGGCAGAUGCAACAACCGGCUCUGAGACACUUAAGAACUGAUGUUGUGUUUGUGAACAUAAU